rnacentral:rRNA from 1 species
GAUGAACGCUGGCGGCGUGCUUAACACAUGCAAGUCGAACGGGAUCCCAGGAGCUUGCUCCUGGGUGAGAGUGGCGAACGGGUGAGUAAUGCGUGACCGACCUGCCCCAUACACCGGAAUAGCUCCUGGAAACGGGUGGUAAUGCCGGAUGCUCCGACAUGACGCAUGUCGUGUCGGGAAAGAUUCAUCGGUAUGGGAUGGGGUCGCGUCCUAUCAGGUAGUCGGCGGGGUAACGGCCCACCGAGCCUACGACGGGUAGCCGGCCUGAGAGGGCGACCGGCCACAUUGGGACUGAGAUACGGCCCAGACUCCUACGGGAGGCAGCAGUGGGGAAUAUUGCACAAUGGGCGCAAGCCUGAUGCAGCGAUGCCGCGUGCGGGAUGACGGCCUUCGGGUUGUAAACCGCUUUUGACUGGGAGCAAGCCCU